rnacentral:rRNA from 1 species
UACGGAGGGGGCGAGCGUUAUUCGGAAUUAUUGGGCGUAAAGGGCGCGUAGGCGGCUGCACAAGUCAAAGGUGAAAUCCCUCGGCUCAACUGAGGAACUGCCUUUGAAACUGUGCGGCUUGAGUCCGGGAGGGGGUAGCGGAAUUCCCAGUGUAGCGGUGAAAUGCGUAGAUAUUGGGAGGAACACCAGUGGCGAAGGCGGCUACUUGGACCGGAACUGACGCUGAUGCGCGAAAGCGUGGGUAGCAAACAGG